rnacentral:rRNA from 1 species
UACGUAGGGGCCAAGCGUUGUCCGGAUUUAUUGGGCGUAAAGAGCUCGUAGGCGGUUCGGCAAGUCAGCUGUGAAAUCUCCACGCUCAACGUGGAGGGGUCAGCUGAUACUGCUGUGACUCGAGUCCGGUAGGGGAGUGUGGAAUUCCCGGUGUGAGCGGUGAAAUGCGCAGAUAUCGGGAGGAACACCAGUAGCGAAGGCGGCACUCUGGGCCGGUACUGACGCUGAGGAGCGAAAGCGUGGGGA